UACGGAGGGUGCGAGCGUUGUCCGGAAUCAUUGGGCGUAAAGGGCGCGUAGGUGGCGGGACAAGCGUGCGGUGAAAGCCUGGGGCUCAACCCCGGGUCGGCCGUGCGAACUGUUUUGCUUGAGCACUGUAGAGGCAGGCGGAAUUCCGGGUGUAGCGGUGGAGUGCGUAGAGAUCCGGAAGAACACCGGUGGCGAAGGCGGCCUGCUGGGCAGUAGCUGACACUGAGGCGCGACAGCGUGGGGAGCAAACAGG
rnacentral:rRNA from 1 species